AAGGGUAUAGCUCAGUGACAGAGCACAUGCUUAGCAGGAAGGAGGUCCUGGGUUCGUUCCCCAGUACCUCUG
rnacentral:tRNA from 1 species